GGUGUUUGGGCCAUGGGGGUGGAUCCCUCAUGAGUGGCUUGGUGCUGUCCUCAUGGUAGUAAGUGAGUUCUCGCUCUAUUAAUUCCCAUGAGAGCUGGUUGUUAAAAAGAGUCUGGCAACUCCCCCAUCUCUUUUUUGCUUCUUCUCUCACCACGUGAGCUCUGCACACACUGGCUCCCCUUCAUCUUCCACCAUGAGUGGAAGCAGCCCGAGGCUUUCAUCAGAUGCCCAGUCUUCCAGCCAGCAGAAUUAUUCCUGGGCUUAAACAUGUGACUCCAGUAUAUGCCCUGCACACAGUUCUUCUGGUUGAAUCUUCCUUCCCAAAAUCCCAAUGAUGCAUCAGGCUACUCUUCGGAUUCUCCGUAUCACAUGAAAGAUACAGCAUUCAAGAGGAAUUUUCAACACUUUCCUUAGAAAUCUCCUCAGCUAAAUAUCCAAUCUCAUCACUCACAAGUUCUACCUUCUACGAAACACUAAAACACAGCUCAACCAAGUGCCUUGUCCAUGAUGUUACAUAUAAGGCUGGCAAUUAAAUGAAGGACAAAUGGGUAGAAACAACCUUUUUGGGAAAUUUUUUAAAUGAGUUAAUGAUCCAUUCCGUAAGCAUUACAAACUGAAGUAAUGCCCUAUUUUGUGGAUGAGGAAAUCUAGACUGAUAAGAGUCCCACGGUCACAGAGUGAAGAAAUGGGAACAUUGGGCUGUCCAGCUUUUUCCACUCAGUACACCAUACCGUGUCUAUGUCACCUGGAUCUAAGAGUUAGUUGAGGUUGGGAUAAGAGAAAUAAAAGGCUAACCAUGAUGCUAAAAUGUCUGAAUCAUUAUUGACUUACCGGCUUGUCAACAAUCUAAUACACAAGGAGAGC
rnacentral:lncRNA from 10 species